rnacentral:rRNA from 2 species
GCCGCGGUAAUACGUAGGUGGCAAGCGUUAUCCGGAUUUAUUGGGCGUAAAGCGAGCGCAGGCGGUUUUUUAAGUCUGAUGUGAAAGCCCUCGGCUUAACCGAGGAAGCGCAUCGGAAACUGGGAAACUUGAGUGCAGAAGAGGACAGUGGAACUCCAUGUGUAGCGGUGAAAUGCGUAGAUAUAUGGAAGAACACCAGUGGCGAAGGCGGCUGUCUGGUCUGUAACUGACGCUGAGGCUCGAAAGCAUGGGUAGCGAACAGGAUUAGAUACCCUGGUAGUCCAUGCCGUAAACGAUGAAUGCUAGGUGUUGGAGGGUUUCCGCCCUUCAGUGCCGCAGCUAACGCAUUAAGCAUUCCGCCUGGGGAGUACGACCGCAAGGUUGAAACUCAAAGGAAUUGACGGGGGCCCGCACAAGCGGUGGAGCAUGUGGUUUAAUUCGAAGCAACGCGAAGAACCUUACCAGGUCUUGACAUCUUUUGAUCACCUGAGAGAUCAGGUUUCCCCUUCGGGGGCAAAAUGACAGGUGGUGCAUGGUUGUCGUCAGCUCGUGUCGUGAGAUGUUGGGUUAAGUCCCGCAACGAGCGCAACCCUUAUGACUAGUUGCCAGCAUUUAGUUGGGCACUCUAGUAAGACUGCCGGUGACAAACCGGAGGAAGGUGGGGAUGACGUCAAAUCAUCAUGCCCCUUAUGACCUGGGCUACACACGUGCUACAAUGGAUGGUACAACGAGUUGCGAGACCGCGAGGUCAAGCUAAUCUCUUAAAGCCAUUCUCAGUUCGGACUGUAGGCUGCAACUCGCCUACACGAAGU